rnacentral:rRNA from 1 species
CCUACGGGUGGCAGCAGUGGGGAAUAAUGGGCAAUGGGCGCAAGCCUGACCCAGCAACGCCGCGUGAAGGAAGAAGGCUUUCGGGUUGUAAACUUCUUUUAAGAGGGAAGAGCAGAAGACGGAACCUCGGGAAUAAGCCACGGCUAACUACGGGCCAGCAGCCGCGGUAAUACGGAGGGGGCAAGCGUUGUCCGGAUUUACUGGGUGGAAAGGGCGUGUAGCCGGGCUGAGAAGUAAGAGGUGACAUUCCGGGGCGCAACCCCGGACCUGCAUUUGAAACUGUUGGUCUUGAGUAUCGGAGAGGCAGGCGGAAUUCCUCGUGUAGCGGUGAAAUGCGUAGAUAUUAGGAGGAACCCCAGUGGCGAAGGCGGCCUGCUGGACGACAACUGACGGUGAGGCGCGACCGCGUGGGGAGCAAACAGGAUUAGAUACCCCUGUAGUC